GAAAUGCGAUAAGUAAUGUGAAUUGCAGAAUUCAGUGAAUCAUCGAAUCUUUGAACGCACAUUGCGCCCGCCAGUAUUCUGGCGGGCAUGCCUGUUCGAGCGUCAUUACAACCCUCAGGCCCCCGGGCCUGGCGUUGGGGAUCGGCGGAAGCCCCCUGCGGGCACAACGCCGUCCCCCAAAUACAAUGGCGGUCCCGCCGCAGCUUCCAUUGCGUAGUAGCUAACACCUCGCAACUGGAGAGCGGCGCGGCCACGCCGUAAAACACCCAACUUCUGAAUGUUGACCUCGAAUCAGGUAGGAAUACCCGCUGAACUUAAGC
rnacentral:misc_RNA from 1 species